AGAAAGGUUGAAAGAAUAAGAAGAUUCUUUAGAUGGAUAAGGAAAGGUGUUCGAGUGUUUGAAGUCUGGCACCAGAUGGCGAACCGUUCGAAA
ensembl:ncRNA F25H8.12 ncRNA